rnacentral:rRNA from 1 species
UGGGGAAUAUUGGACAAUGGGCGAAAGCCUGAUCCAGCAACGCCGCGUGAGGGAUGACGGCCUUCGGGUUGUAAACCUCUUUCACCCAUGACGAAGCGAAAGUGACGGUAGUGGGAGAAGAAGCACCGGCCAACUACGUGCCAGCAGCCGCGGUAAUACGUAGGGUGCAAGCGUUGUCCGGAAUUAUUGGGCGUAAAGGGCUCGUAGGCGGUCCAUCGCGUCGGGAGUGAAAAGCUGGGGCUCAACCCCAGUCCUGCUUUCGAUACGGGUGGACUAGAGGUAGGCAGGGGAGAACGGAAUUCCUGGUGUAGCGGUGAAAUGCGCAGAUAUCAGGAGGAACACCGGUGGCGAAGGCGGUUCUCUGGGCCUUACCUGACGCUGAGGAGCGAAAGCGUGGGGAGCAAACA